rnacentral:rRNA from 1 species
CGAACGGGAUGCUUAGGCAUCUAGUGGCGGACGGGUGAGUAACGCGUGAGAAUCUGGCUCCAGGUCGGGGAUAACAGUUGGAAACGACUGCUAAUACCGGAUGUGCCGAGAGGUGAAAGAUUUAUUGCCUGGAGAUGAGCUCGCGUCUGAUUAGCUAGUUGGUGGUGUAAGGGACCACCAAGGCAUCGAUCAGUAGCUGGUCUGAGAGGAUGAUCAGCCACACUGGGACUGAGACACGGCCCAGACUCCUACGGGAGGCAGCAGUGGGGAAUUUUCCGCAAUGGGCGAAAGCCUGACGGAGCAAUACCGCGUGAGGGAGGAAGGCUCUUGGGUCGUAAACCUCUUUUCUCAAGGAAGAAGAAAGUGACGGUACUUGAGGAAUAAGCAUCGGCUAACUCCGUGCCAGCAGCCGCGGUAAUACGGAGGAUGCAAGCGUUAUCCGGAAUGAUUGGGCGUAAAGGGUCUGCAGGUGGAACUGAAAGUCUGCUGUUAAAGAGUUUGGCUUAACCAAAUAAAAGCGGUGGAAACUACAGAACUAGAGUGCGGUAGGGGCAAAAGGAAUUCCUGGUGUAGCGGUGAAAUGCGUAGAUAUCAGGAAGAACACCGGUGGCGAAAGCGUUUUGCUAGACCGUAACUGACACUGAGGGACGAAAGCUAGGGGAGCGAAUGGGAUUAGAUACCCCAGUAGUCCUAGCCGUAAACGAUGGAUACUAGGCGUGGCUUGUAUCGACCCGAGCCGUGCCGGAGCUAACGCGUUAAGUAUCCCGCCUGGGGAGUACGCACGCAAGUGUGAAACUCAAAGGAAUUGACGGGGGCCCGCACAAGCGGUGGAGUAUGUGGUUUAAUUCGAUGCAACGCGAAGAACCUUACCAAGACUUGACAUCCUGCGAAUCCUGGUGAAAGCUGGGAGUGCCUUAGGGAGCGCAGAGACAGGUGGUGCAUGGCUGUCGUCAGCUCGUGUCGUGAGAUGUUGGGUUAAGUCCCGCAACGAGCGCAACCCUCGUUUUUAGUUGCCAGCAUUAAGUUGGGCACUCUAGAGAGACUGCCGGUGACAAACCGGAGGAAGGUGAGGAUGACGUCAAGUCAGCAUGCCCCUUACGUCUUGGGCUACACACGUACUACAAUGCUACGGACAGAGGGCAGCGAGCCAGGGAUGGCAAGCGAAUCCAGAAACCGUAGCUCAGUUCAGAUCGAAGGCUGCAACUCGCCUUCGUGAAGGAGGAAUCGCUAGUAAUUGCAGGUCAGCAUACUGCAGUGAAUUCGUUCCCGGGCCUUGUACACACCGCCCGUCACACCAUGGAAGUUGGUCACGCCCGAAGUCAUUACCCCAACCGAAAGGAGGGGGAUGCCUAAGGUAGGACUGGUGACUGGGGUGAAGUCGUAACAAGGUAGCCGUACCGGAAGGUGUGGCUGGAUCACCUCCUUU